UGUCUUUGUUCGUGAACGUUGUAGCCUUUACUGAUCAUUACUGUAUUAUCAUCAAUAUCGUUGUUAUCAUUUUGUAUGUUAUCGAUUGCUUUUCAUGUUUAUUUCAGCUAUUAGAUGAAGUUCAAUCGUACAUAGUUGUUGAAAGGUUCAUUGAACAUAACAGUGCAGCUGCUGAUUCCACGGCUCCAAAGUUCCUUCACACCGAAGCAUACAUUGGUUGGAAAAGAACUCGGAAGUUGUUUACCACUCGGACAGGACCUUAAAAAAGAGAGAUAAUGAAAAUAAGCUGAGAACAGUUUAUCGAUUAGGCUUACGGUGAGAAUUGAAUGGAUUCUUCAACUGAUUUAGAAUUUCUAGCAACAUUCUCGCCAUCUCGUUGAGCCUGGCCUCACUAUUCAGGCGAGGUUGCAAAUGGUGAUGGAGGUUAGGGAUAGUCUUGAAAUUGCUCAUACUGCUGAGUAUUUGAAAUUUUUAAAGUGUUAUUUUCGGGCCUUUUCGGGGAUACUACUGCAAAUUACAAAGCCGCAGUUUAUGGACAAUCCUGAACAUAAGCUUAGGAAUAUUGUGGACAAAUACUUAAUGCUGAAUCAUAAUGGACGUCGCCUACAAAGUUCUACUGGCUGUGUAGCUACACGAGAUAUACUGCAGCUUGUCCCCAUGAGAGAAGUACAAUGUAAGUA